UUUCAUUUUAUUUGUUAUUCAUUUUAUACAUUUUAGUGACUUAUUUUUAAAUUGAUUAAAUUGUUUUAAGACAUGAUCACAUACCCUACAGCGCACCCCUGUAGUAUGUAUUGUUGUUGUUUUGAAUAUAUUCACAUAGUUGUGCAGCCACCACCACAAUCACUUUCAGAGUAUGUUUUCCUUCACAACGAAUGAACCUGAUUUAUAACUUCCAUGUGUUAGGACGUUAUCGAGCCUCUCGGGUGAUAGGGCUCAGCUGAUGAAAUUGCAAACCCCAGAGCCCUUGGGUGGAAUUAUCCUUGGUAGUGGGAGGAGAAAGCAGGAACGCAGUUUCGCCGGGAUAGGCAGCACCAGGGAGAAUGACAGAAGUCAGAGAGGGUGGAAGCUACGUUAAGACGUUUGCCCAACAUCAUUCAGUGGGGAGGUAAUAGAGCUGGGAUUUGAGACUUGUAUCCCAGAUGUCCCCAGGAAAGAGGACAUGUAGAGUGGGCACCAAGUCUAGGGAACUGCAACAUUCAAGGGGAUGGUAAGGGUUGGCCCAGGAGAGGUCCGAUUCUGAUCAUGGUGGGGGAAGAGACAGAUGUUAGCAUGGAUUUGAGGACAUUGAGGGUAGACUCUUCAUUUGGGGAACUCGCUUGAGGGGAGAGAGGGCAGCAGCUGACGGGGAAGGUGUGAGGAAGAGUGAGGGGGAAGAGCCCUCCCUGGCUGACAGGGAUUGACGAGUAUGGAGCGACUCUGGAGCGACUCGGACAGUUGAUGGCUCACUUCAGUGACUUCUCUGAGAUGGCAUGGGCCCCUCCUGACGGCAUGUCCGAAGGACGUGAGAUGAAGGCGAGCCAUCCUCACUUCUGCAGGCUGUGCUUCUUCCAAUUCAGAUAUCUCCAUAUUUCCAGUGGUAUAGUCGAUAUCCUUCACCAGCACCAUGAUGCAGAGGUCUGUGACUAGCAGAGGGGGGACGUGAACGUGGUGGCGUGGUCAGCUAAGUUUCAGCCCACCAGUGGCUCUCAGGAGAAAGUCGAGGCUGUAGGCUCCCAUCAAGGUCGAUGAAGCCGCUGAGACGCCACGGAGGACUGCAGUGAGUGGACAUCCACUGGACGGGAGUGGGUCUGAUGUCGGUGGACACGGACACGUCGCUUUCUUGUAUUUUGUCGUCUCGGCCUUUGCAUAUGUCAUUUUCCACAGACGGAAGGUCUGUGCAGCCAUUUUCCAGUGUCUGGGUCACAUUCUGGCAAUUCUCCCAGAACGUCCCAAAUUGCUGUU